rnacentral:rRNA from 1 species
AGUUAGUGGCGGACGGGUGAGUAACACGUGGGAACGUGCCUUUAGGUUCGGAAUAACUCAGGGAAACUUGUGCUAAUACCGAAUGUGCCCUUCGGGGGAAAGAUUUAUCGCCUUUAGAGCGGCCCGCGUCUGAUUAGCUAGUUGGUGAGGUAAAGGCUCACCAAGGCGACGAUCAGUAGCUGGUCUGAGAGGAUGAUCAGCCACAUUGGGACUGAGACACGGCCCAAACUCCUACGGGAGGCAGCAGUGGGGAAUCUUGCGCAAUGGGCGAAAGCCUGACGCAGCCAUGCCGCGUGAAUGAUGAAGGUCUUAGGAUUGUAAAAUUCUUUCAGUAGGGAC